AAUAGAAGUUAUGGCGCAGUUGGACUU
rnacentral:piRNA from 1 species